CCACCACCAAAGCAUUUGCUGUACCGCGUUGACGGAGCGAAGCGACGUCAAACCGAUAAAACAGCAGUGUAAAGUGAGCCGCAGGGCGCUUUGCGCGACAGCGCAAAGGCAGGCGGUUUCGCGUAGCGAAAGCGAAUGCUUUGGGGUGGGGUGACUGCGUACCUUUUGUAUAAUGGGUCAGCGACUUAUAUUCUGUAGCAAGGUUAACCGAAUAGGGGAGCCGGAGGGAAACCGAGUCUUAACCGGGCGUUAAGUUGCAGGGUAUAGACCCGAAACCCGGUGAUCUAGCCAUGGGCAGGUUGAAGGUUGGGUAACACUAACUGGAGGACCGAACCGACUAAUGUUGAAAAAUUAGCGGAUGACCUGUGGCUGGGGGUGAAAGGCCAAUCAAACCGGGAGAUAGCUGGUUCUCCCCGAAAGCUAUUUAGGUAGCGCCUCGUGAAUUCAUCUCCGGGGGUAGAGCACUGUUUCGGCUAGGGGGCCAUCCCGGCUUACCAACCCGAUGCAAACUGCGAAUACCGGAGAAUGUUAUCACGGGAGACACACGGCGGGUGCUAACGUCCGUCGUGAAGAGGGAAACAACCCAGACCGCCAGCUAAGGUCCCAAAGUCAUGGUUAAGUGGGAAACGAUGUGGGAAGGCCCAGACAGCCAGGAUGUUGGCUUAGAAGCAGCCAUCAUUUAAAGAAAGCGUAAUAGCUCACUGGUCGAGUCGGCCUGCGCGGAAGAUGUAACGGGGCUAAACCAUGCACCGAAGCUGCGGCAGCGACACUGUGUGUUGUUGGGUAGGGGAGCGUUCUGUAAGCCUGCGAAGGUGGCCUGUGAGGGUUGCUGGAGGUAUCAGAAGUGCGAAUGCUGACAUAAGUAACGAUAAAGCGGGUGAAAAGCCCGCUCGCCGGAAGACCAAGGGUUCCUGUCCAACGUUAAUCGGGGCAGGGUGAGUCGACCCCUAAGGCGAGGCCGAAAGGCGUAGUCGAUGGGAAACGGGUUAAUAUUCCCGUACUUGGUGUUACUGCGAAGGGGGGACGGAGAAGGCUAUGUUGGCCGGGCGACGGUUGUCCCGGUUUAAGCGUGUAGGUGUGUGUUCCAGGUAAAUCCGGUUCACUUUAACACUGAGGCGUGACGACGAGGCACUACGGUGCUGAAGCAACAAAUGCCCUGCUUCCAGGAAAAGCCUCUAAGCAUCAGGUAACAUCAAAUCGUACCCCAAACCGACACAGGUGGUCAGGUAGAGAAUACCAAGGCGCUUGAGAGAACUCGGGUGAAGGAACUAGGCAAAAUGGUGCCGUAACUUCGGGAGAAGGCACGCUGACACGUAGGUGAAGUGAUUUACUCAUGGAGCUGAAGUCAGUCGAAGAUACCAGCUGGCUGCAACUGUUUAUUAAAAACACAGCACUGUGCAAACACGAAAGUGGACGUAUACGGUGUGACGCCUGCCCGGUGCCGGAAGGUUAAUUGAUGGGGUCAGCGCAAGCGAAGCUCCUGAUCGAAGCCCCGGUAAACGGCGGCCGUAACUAUAACGGUCCUAAGGUAGCGAAAUUCCUUGUCGGGUAAGUUCCGACCUGCACGAAUGGCGUAAUGAUGGCCAGGCUGUCUCCACCCGAGACUCAGUGAAAUUGAACUCGCUGUGAAGAUGCAGUGUACCCGCGGCAAGACGGAAAGACCCCGUGAACCUUUACUAUAGCUUGACACUGAACAUUGAGCCUUGAUGUGUAGGAUAGGUGGGAGGCUUUGAAGUGUGGACGCCAGUCUGCAUGGAGCCGACCUUGAAAUACCACCCUUUAAUGUUUGAUGUUCUAACGUGGACCCGUUACCCGGGUUGCGGACAGUGUCUGGUGGGUAGUUUGACUGGGGCGGUCUCCUCCUAAAGAGUAACGGAGGAGCACGAAGGUUGGCUAAUCCUGGUCGGACAUCAGGAGGUUAGUGCAAUGGCAUAAGCCAGCUUGACUGCGAGCGUGACGGCGCGAGCAGGUGCGAAAGCAGGUCAUAGUGAUCCGGUGGUUCUGAAUGGAAGGGCCAUCGCUCAACGGAUAAAAGGUACUCCGGGGAUAACAGGCUGAUACCGCCCAAGAGUUCAUAUCGACGGCGGUGUUUGGCACCUCGAUGUCGGCUCAUCACAUCCUGGGGCUGAAGUAGGUCCCAAGGGUAUGGCUGUUCGCCAUUUAAAGUGGUACGCGAGCUGGGUUUAGAACGUCGUGAGACAGUUCGGUCCCUAUCUGCCGUGGGCGCUGGAGAACUGAGGGGGGCUGCUCCUAGUACGAGAGGACCGGAGUGGACGCAUCACUGGUGUUCGGGUUGUCAUGCCAAUGGCACUGCCCGGUAGCUAAAUGCGGAAGAGAUAAGUGCUGAAAGCAUCUAAGCACGAAACUUGCCCCGA
rnacentral:rRNA from 1 species